CGAACGGGUGAGUAACGCGUGAGCAACCUGCCUAUGACAGUGGGAUAGCCUCGGGAAACCGGGAUUAAUACCGCAUAAAAUCGUAGAAACACAUGUUUUAACGGUCAAAGAUUUAUCGGUCAUAGAUGGGCUCGCGUCUGAUUAGCUAGUUGGUGAGAUAACAGCCCACCAAGGCGACGAUCGGUAGCCGGUCUGAGAGAUGAACGGCCACAUUGGAACUGAGACACGGUCCAA
rnacentral:rRNA from 1 species